UGUAACCAAUAGAUCGAAUGGUGCCCAUGAUGCGCAAAGCGCCGGGCUUCAUUGGGAAUGGGGAAGGGUGGACCAAAUCGCGGCACCCAAAACCCCGGCCGCCCCCGCGACUGUAUGCGGAGAGUGCUACCGGAAUGCCACUGGGCCCGUAGGGUCUGGGAAGGCCGGUUCAGCACCUUGACCCGCGAGCCAGGAGACCUGCCUUCGGUGAUAUUUCAAC
rfam:Thioclava sp. SK-1 scaffold26_cov1996_read209, whole genome shotgun sequence.